AGAGUUUGAUCCUGGCUCAGGAUGAACGCUGGCGGCGUGCCUAACACAUGCAAGUCGAACGAAGCUUGACGGAUGAUUUCUUCGGAAUGAAACCUGAUAUGACUUAGUGGCGGACGGGUGAGUAACACGUGAGCAACCUGCCUUUCAGAGGGGGAUAACGGCUGGAAACGGUCGCUAAUACCGCAUGACGUGUUCGGAUGGCAUCAUCUGAACAUCAAAGAUUUAUCGCUGAAAGAUGGGCUCGCGUCUGAUUAGAUAGUUGGUGGGGUAACGGCCUACCAAGUCUACGAUCAGUAGCCGGACUGAGAGGUUGAACGGCCACAUUGGGACUGAGAUACGGCCCAGACUCCUACGGGAGGCAGCAGUGGGGAAUAUUGGGCAAUGGGCGCAAGCCUGACCCAGCAACGCCGCGUGAAGGAAGAAGGCUUUCGGGUUGUAAACUUCUUUUGUCGGGGACGAGUAGAAGACGGUACCUGGCGAAUAAGCCACGGCUAACUACGUGCCAGCAGCCGCGGUAAUACGUAGGUGGCAAGCGUUGUCCGGAAUUAUUGGGCGUAAAGCGCGCGCAGGCGGCUUCCCAAGUCCCUCUUAAAAGUGCGGGGCUUAACCCCGUGAUGGGAAGGAAACUGGGAAGCUGGAGUAUCGGAGAGGAAAGUGGAAUUCCUAGUGUAGCGGUGAAAUGCGUAGAGAUUAGGAAGAACACCGGUGGCGAAGGCGACUUUCUGGACGAAAACUGACGCUGAGGCGCGAAAGCGUGGGGAGCAAACAGGAUUAGAUACCCUGGUAGUCCACGCUGUAAACGAUGAAUACUAGGUGUGCGGGGACUGACCCCCUGCGUGCCGCAGUUAACACAAUAAGUAUUCCACCUGGGGAGUACGAUCGCAAGGUUGAAACUCAAAGGAAUUGACGGGGGCCCGCACAAGCGGUGGAUUAUGUGGUUUAAUUCGAAGCAACGCGAAGAACCUUACCAGGGCUUGACAUCCUACUAACGAAGUAGAGAUACAUCAGGUGCCCUUCGGGGAAAGUAGAGACAGGUGGUGCAUGGUUGUCGUCAGCUCGUGUCGUGAGAUGUUGGGUUAAGUCCCGCAACGAGCGCAACCCCUAUUGUUAGUUGCUACGCAAGAGCACUCUAGCGAGACUGCCGUUGACAAAACGGAGGAAGGUGGGGACGACGUCAAAUCAUCAUGCCCCUUAUGUCCUGGGCUACACACGUAAUACAAUGGCGGUCAACAGAGGGAUGCAAAGCCGUAAGGCGGAGCGAACCCCUAAAAGCCGUCCCAGUUCAGAUUGUGGGCUGCAACCCGCCCACAUGAAGUCGGAAUCGCUAGUAAUCGCGGAUCAGCAUGCCGCGGUGAAUACGUUCCCGGGUCUUGUACACACCGCCCGUCAAACAAUGGGAGUGGUGUUUACCAGAAGUCGUUAGCCUAACCGCAAGGAGGGCGGCGACCACGGUGAGCACCGUGACUAAUGUUAAGUCGUAACAAGGUAGCCGUACCGGAAGGUGCGGCUG
rnacentral:rRNA from 1 species